AUGCCGCCUUCUCGCCCUCCUCUCACCCCGACGAGUCUGGGCCUUCUCCACCGCUUCCUAGCCUCGUCCUCCUCGGCGCCUCCGCCGCUGCCCGUGCUCCUCCGCCUGCACGCUCUCGCUGCCACCUCAGGCCUCUGUUCCCGCCCCGACUUCGCCGCCAAGCUCGUCUCCGCCUACUCCUCCUCCGGCCGCCCCGGCCUCGCCGCCCUCGCCUUCUCCGCCUCCCCCUGCCCGGACACCUUCCUCUGGAACUCCCUCCUCCGCUCCCACCAUUGCGCCUCCGACUUUGCCUCCGCGCUCUCCGCCCACCGCCGCAUGUGCGCCUCUGGCGCGCGGCCCUCCCGGUUCACCGCGCCCAUCGCCGCCUCCGCGGCCGCCGAGCUCGCGGCGCUCCCGGUCGGCUCCUCCGUGCACGCCUACUCCGUCAAGCUCGGCCUUCUGGUAGGCGAUGGUUCCCUCGCGGUCUCGUCGUCGCUCGUGUACAUGUAUGCCAGGUGCGGCCGCAUUGACGACGCUACGAAGCUGUUCGACGAAAUGGGUGAGAGGGACGUCAUCACGUGGACCGCGGUGGUCUCUGGGUGCGUUAGGAAUGACCAGGGUGAGAAGGGAAUGAGAUACUUGGUGCAGAUGGUUAGGCUAGCGGGUGAUGGCGGCGCGAGGCCAAAUUCACGGACAAUGGAGAGUGGGUUGGAGGCUUGCGGACUGCUAGGUGAGCUGUCUGCUGGGAGAUGCUUGCACGGGUACACGGUGAAGGAAGGGAUUGGAGAUUGUGCGUUGGUGGUUUCCGCACUUUUCUCAAUGUACUCAAAGUGCGAUAGGACUGAGGAUGCAUGUGUUUUAUUCCUGGAGUUGCCAGAAAAAGAUGUGGUUACCUGGACUAGCUUGAUUGGAGCCUAUUGUAGGAGAGGACUUGAUAGGGAGGCCGUGGAGUUGUUCCAGGAGAUGGUGGUGUCUGGUCUGCAGCCAGAUGAAGUUCUUGUUAGCUGUGUACUUUCAGGGUUAGGGAACAGUGGAAAUGUGCGUAGGGGGAAGGCAUUUCAUGCAGCUAUAACUAAGAGAAACUUUGGAGACAGUUUCUUGGUUGCCAAUGCUUUGAUUUCAAUGUACGGGAAACUUGAGUUGGUAGAUGCUGCAGGCAAAGUUUUUGGAAUUUUGCAUCAACGAGAUGCAGAAUCAUGGAGUUUGAUGGUUGUAUUAUACUGCAAAGCUGGACUUGAUGUCAAAUGCUUGGAGUUGUACCGAGAAAUGCAUUGCAGAGAUCAUGAUGAAUUUUUAUGUGAUAUCAACAGCUUGGUUUCCACAAUCUCUUCUUGUUCACGGCUAGGACAACUGCGGUUAGGUCAAUCAGCUCAUUGCUUUUCGAUCAAGUGCUUGCUUGAUGAAAUUUCAGUUGCCAAUGCAUUAAUUGGCAUGUAUGGAAGGUGUGGGAAAUUUGACCUUGCAUACAAAAUAUUUGGUGUGGCCAAAGUGAGGAGGGAUGUUGUCACCUGGAAUGCACUCCUAUCCAGCUAUUCACAUCUAGGACAUUCAAAUGAUGCCUUGUCACUAUAUGAUCAGAUGCUCACUGAAGGUGUCCAACCAAACUCUGCAACCUUGAUUACUGUCAUUUCAGCUUGUGCAAAUUUGGCUGCACUGGAACAUGGUGAACUGAUACAUUCUUAUGUGAAAGAUAUGGGGUUGGAAUCUGAUGUAUCUAUUAGUACAUCACUUGUUGACAUGUAUACUAAAUGUGGGCAGCUGGGGAUUGCAAGAGGAAUUUUUGAUUCUAUGCUCGUACGGGAUGUUGUUACAUGGAAUGUGAUGAUAGCAGGCUAUGGGAUGCAUGGUGAUGUGAAGCAAGCACUGCAGUUAUUUAGUGAGAUGGAGAGAGGAAGUAUUAAGCCUAACAGUGUCACUUUUCUUGCCAUUCUGUCUGCUUGCUGCCAUGCAGGGUAUGUUGAUGAGGGCAGGAAGCUGUUCAUCAGAAUGGGGAAAUACCGCCUUGAACCUAACCUGAAGCAUUACGCAUGUAUGGUGGAUCUCCUAGGGAAAUCUGGGCAUCUUCAAGAAGCAGAAGAUAUGAUUUUGGCUAUGCCAAUACAACCUGAUGGUGGGGUAUGGGGAACUUUGCUUAGUGCCUGCAAAAUGCAUGACAAUUUCGAGAUGGGGUUAAGAGUUGCAAAGAAGGCUUUUGCUUCUGACCCAGGAAAUGAUGGGUACUAUGUUUUAAUGUCCAAUUCAUAUGGUAGUGCUGAAAAAUGGGAAGAGAUAGAGAAACUGAGAGACACGAUGAAGAAUCAUGGAGUGGAAAAAGGUGUGGGCUGGAGUGCGGUUGAUAUUUGCGUGUGA
rnacentral:rRNA from 1 species